rnacentral:rRNA from 1 species
AUUGAACGCUGGCGGCCGGCCUAACACAUGCAAGUCGAGCGAGCGGCGGACGGGUGAGUAAUGUCUGGGAGACUGCCUGAUGGAGGUGGAUACCUACUGGAAACGGUUGCUAAUACCGCAUCCCAUCUGCUGUGCCCCGAUGGGAUUAGCUAGUUGGUGGGGUAACGUCUCACCUAGGCGACGAUCCCUAGCUGGUCUGAGAGGAUGACCGGCGAAACGGGAACUGAGAAACGGUGCAGACGAGUACGGGAGGCGGCAGGGGGGAAGGUGGCACAAUGGGCGAAAGCCAGAUGAAGCGAUGCCGCGUGUGGGAAGAAGGAAUUAGGGUUGUAAAGCACUUACAGCGGGGAGGCGUUACACGUAGAAGAAGCACCGGCUACCUCCGUGCCAGCAGCCGCGGUAAUAC